rnacentral:rRNA from 1 species
AUUGAACGCUGGCGGCACGCCUAACACAUGCAAGCCGAGCGGUAACAUGGUGUGUAGCAAUACACACUGAUGACGAGCGGCGGACGGGUGAGGAACACGUAGGAACCUGCCCAAAAGAGGGGGAUAACCAAGGGAAACUUUGGCUAAUACCGCGUAAUCUCGAGAGAGAAAAGCUGCCGCAAGGUGGCGCUUUUGGAGGGGCCUGCGUCCGAUUAGCUAGUUGGUGAGGUAAUAGCUCACCAAGGCGAUGAUCGGUAACUGGUUUGAGAGAAUGAUCAGUCACACUGGAACUGAGACACGGUCCAGACUCCUACGGGAGGCAGCAGUGGGGAAUAUUGGACAAUGGGCGAAAGCCUGAUCCAGCAAUACCGCGUGUGUGAAGAAGGCCUUAGGGUUGUAAAGCACUUUCAAUUGGAAGGAAAACCUCGAAGCUAAUACCUUCGAGUUGACAUUACCUUUAGAAGAAGCACCGGCUAACUACGUGCCAGCCGCCGCGGUAA